rnacentral:lncRNA from 10 species
CCAAAGUGCUGGGAUUACAGGUGUGAGCCACGGCGCCCGGCCCCAAAAAGUAAUUAUUCUUAACCUGCUUCCCAGGCUGGAUUUUGUAGCACUGUAGCUAAAACUUCCAGACACAGAGAUUAGUAUGAGGGUACAAUCUGAGGACAUGGCACCCUGAAAAUGCAGGAGACGAUAGUGUAUAUACAUGGAAACAAUCUGAGGGUGUGACACCCUGGACGCACAGGGUCUCCAAUGCCUUGGACGUCCUGGACACAAGCUGGAGUUUUCUUUUCUUUCUUUUGAGGCGGAGUUUCGCUCUUAUUGCCCAGGCUGGAGUACAAUGGCACGAUCUCGGCUCACCACAAACUCUGCCUCCCGGGUUCAAGCGAUUCUCCUGCCUCA